AUACUCUGGUUUCUCUUCAGAUCGUAUAAGUCUUUCGCCUUUUACUAAAGAUUUCCGUGGAGAGGAACAGGCACGAGUGUCGAGAAAUUUUUUGAGGCUCCGUUUCGGUGGAGCU
rnacentral:snRNA from 1 species